GAUGAACGCUAGCUACAGGCUUAACACAUGCAAGUCGAGGGGAAACGAUAGAGAAAGCUUGCUUUUGCUAGGCGUCGACCGGCGCACGGGUGAGUAACGCGUAUCCAACCUGCCCAUCACUUGGGGAUAACCUUGCGAAAGUAAGACUAAUACCCAAUGACGUCUCUAGAAGACAUCUGCAAGAGAUUAAAGAGUUAUCGUUAAAGGAUGGGGAUGCGUGUGAGUAGCUUGUUGGCGGGGUAACGGCCAACCAAGGCGACGCUCAGUAGGGGUUCUGAGAGAAGGUCCCCCACAUUGGAACUGAGACACGGUCCAAACUCCUACGGGAGGCAGCAGUGAGGAAUAUUGGUCAAUGGGCGAGAGCCUGAACCAGUCAAGUAGCGUGCAGGAUGACGGCCCUAUGGGUUGUAAACUGCUUUUAUAAGGGAAAAAAGUGAGUCUCGUGAGACUUUUUGCAUGUACCUUAUGAAUAAGGACCGGCUAAUUCCGUGCCAGCCGCCGCAGUAA
rnacentral:rRNA from 1 species